UGGCUCAGGAUGAACGCUGGCGGCGUGCUUAACACAUGCAAGUCGAACGGAGUUUUUAAACGGAAGUUUUCGGAUGGAAGUUUAAGAACGUUAGUGGCGGACGGGUGAGUAACGCGUGGGUAACCUGCCUCAUACAGGGGGAUAACAGUUAGAAAUGACUGCUAACACCGCAUAAUAUAGCGAAACCGCAUGAUUUUUGCUAUCAAAAUAUUUUAUAGGUUAUGAGAUGGGCCCGCGUCUGAUUAGCUAGUUGGUGGGUAAAGCCUACCAAGGCGACGAUCAGUAGCCGGCUUGAGAGAGUGACCGGCCACAUUGGGACUGAGACACGGCCCAAACUCCUACGGGAGGCAGCGAGUGGGGAAUAUUGGACAAGUGGGGGAAACCCUGAUCCAGCGAACCGCCGCGUGAGUGAAGAAGUAUUUCGGUAUGUAAAGCUCUAUCAGCAGGGAAGAUAAUGACAGUACCUGACUAAGAAGCCCCGGCUAACUACGUGCCAGCAGCCGC
rnacentral:rRNA from 1 species